GACGAACGCUGGCGGCGUGCCUAACACAUGCAAGUUGAGCGACGAACCAGGGCUUGCCCUGGGGCAAAGCAGCGAACGGGUGAGUAACACGUGGGUAACCUACCCCGAUAACCGGGACAACCCGAGGAAACUCGGGCUAAUACCGGAUGUGCUCACUGGACUUCGGUUCAGUGCGUAAAGGAAGCUUCGGCCUCCGUAUCGGGAGGGGCCCGCGGCCCAUUAGUUUGUUGGUGAGGUAACGGCUCACCAAGACCGCGAUGGGUAGCUGGUCUGAGAGGACGAUCAGCCACACUGGGACUGAGACACGGCCCAGACUCCUACGGGAGGCAGCAGUGGGGAAUCUUGCGCAAUGCGCGAAAGCGUGACGCAGCAACGCCGCGUGGGGGAAGAAGGCCUUCGGGUUGUAAACCCCUUUCAGGAGGGACGAAGGUUCGGCGGUGAAUAGCCGUCCGGACUGACGGUACCUCCACAAGAAGCCCCGGCUAACUACG
rnacentral:rRNA from 1 species